CCGUAUCCUCGAGAGCUAUUAACUUUUACUCUUAAAGUUACUAUCAAAGUUAAUAGUUUCAAAUUAUUAAGAGUAAAAGCUAUCCUCGUCAACUUUGAGUGUAGGUAUUAGCAAAUCCUGGCUACUAUUAUCUUCUUCUUCUUCUUCUUUAUGGCGGGCUCGUUGCUAAGGACGCCUCCGUGCAAAACGUAAACAUCCGACAUGAAUUAAGUAUAUAUUUCAAAAGAAAAAUAAAGAAAAGAUGUAUAAAUGUACAACAGAAACAUAAUAAAUGGCAAACACAAGAAAAUACUGAGUUUUGUGGCAGAUAGAAGCAGCCUCAAAGGCUGUUUUUACUCCGUCACUCGUCAAUACCCGUAUCUCCCCGCCUGCGUCACGACUUGCUCUGCUGAAAUUACCGCACCAUAACCAAGUCAUCUGCCCCAAUGAUCUACGUGCCGGAGAACCAGCGCAGAAAAGGAGUAAGUUUAAUUGGUCGCCAGAUGAAACGGUCUUCUUACAUCAAAUUCAAGAAAAAAUACGUAUAAUCAGAGGGUGUUAUGGGAAGAGUAUCACCCCUGAGGAUAAGAAGAGAGCGUGGACUGAAGUGGCAGAAGCUGUAACAAGUGCCUUCCCUGGGAGUGGACCCCGUACGCAGGAUGACUGUGAGAGGCGUUGGUACAACGUACAACAAAAAUCAAAGCCUUGCAUUGCCAAGUGCAAGAAUGAGCAGCGGCAGACUGAUACACACUUUAUCAGUAUUGCUAGAGACCAUCCCAGCACAUUGUUCAUUACUUGUGGAAAAGAUACCAUUAGCUGCUCCGGCAACAGCCACUGCUUCAAUAUCUGCUGGCCCUAUGACACCAGCCACUGUUUCAUCAUCUGCUGGCCC